UGGGGAAUAUUGGACAAUGGGCGCAAGCCUGAUCCAGCCAUGCCGCGUGAGUGAUGAAGGCCCUAGGGUUGUAAAGCUCUUUCACCGGUGAAGAUAAUGACGGUAACCGGAGAAGAAGCCCCGGCUAACUUCGUGCCAGCAGCCGCGGUAAUACGAAGGGGGCUAGCGUUGUUCGGAAUUACUGGGCGUAAAGCGCACGUAGGCGGAUCGAUCAGUUAGGGGUGAAAUCCCGGGGCUCAACCCCGGAACUGCCUCUAAUACUGUCGAUCUGGAGUUCGAGAGAGGUGAGUGGAAUUCCGAGUGUAGAGGUGAAAUUCGUAGAUAUUCGGAGGAACACCAGUGGCGAAGGCGGCUCACUGACUCGAUACUGACGCUGAGGUGCGAAAGCGUGGGGAGCGAACA
rnacentral:rRNA from 1 species